UGACAAUAUCACAUUGAAUCACUGGUUCUUCUUAUGAUCCUUGAAGUUAAACAUCAUUGAACCUGGUUAGUACCUAGAUGGGUAACCGCUUGGGAAUACCAGGUGCUGUAAG